rnacentral:rRNA from 1 species
UACGGGGGGGGCGAAGCGUUGUUCGGAAUUACUGGGCGUAAAGGGCUCGUAGGUGGCCAACUAAGUCAGACGUGAAAUCCCCUCAGCUUAACUGGGGAACUGCGUCUGAUACUGGAUGGCUUGAGUUUGGGAGAGGGACGCGGAAUUCCAGGUGUAGCGGUGAAAUGCGUAGAUAUCUGGAGGAACACCGGUGGCGAAGGCGGCGUCCUGGACCAACACUGACGCUGAUGAGCGAAAGCCAGGGGAGCAAACGGG